rnacentral:rRNA from 1 species
UAGGGAAUAUUGGACAAUGGGGGCAACCCUGAUCCAGCCAUGCCGCGUGAGUGAAGAAGGCCCUCGGGUUGUAAAGCUCUUUUGUCCGGAAAGAAAAGCUUCGGGUUAAUACCCCGGGGUUCUGACGGUACCGGAAGAAUAAGCACCGGCUAACUUCGUGCCAGCAGCCGCGGUAAUACGAAGGGUGCAAGCGUUACACGGAAUUACUGGGCGUAAAGCGUGCGUAGGUGGUUGUUUAAGUCUGAUGUGAAAGCCCUGGGCUCAACCUGGGAAUGGCAUUGGAAACUGGGCAGCUAGAGUGCGGUAGAGGGUAGUGGAAUUCCCGGUGUAGCAGUGAAAUGCGUAGAGAUCGGGAGGAACAUCUGUGGCGAAGGCGACUGCCUGGACCAGCACUGACACUGAGGCACGAAAGCGUGGGGAGCAAACA